rnacentral:rRNA from 1 species
GGUAAUACGGAGGGAUGCGAGCGUUAUCCGGAUUCAUUGGGUUUAAAGGGGUUAGGCGUAGGCGGAAGUAUUAAGUUACAGGGGUGGAAAGUUUAGUUGGCUCAACCAUAAAAUUAGCCUUUGUAUACUGGUAUUCUUGAGUACAUUUGAGGUAGGCGGAAUGUGUUGUGUAGCGGUGAAAUGCUUAGAUAUAACACAGAACACCGAUUGCGAAGGCAGCUUACUAAACUAGUCACUGACGCUGAUGCACGAAAGCGUGGGGAUCGAACAGGAUUAGAUACCCUGGUAG